rnacentral:rRNA from 1 species
GAUUAACGCUGGCGGCGUGCCUAACACAUGCAAGUCGAGCGGCAGCGAGUUUUACACUGAAUUCUGGAAGCUUCUAGUUGAAAGAGAAGAUUUAUUCAAGAAUUUUGUGUAAAAUGUCGGCGAGCGGCGGACGGCUGAGUAACGCGUGGGAACGUACCCCAAAGUGAGGGAUAACGCAUCGAAAGGUAUGCUAAUACCGCAUAUGGUCUUCGGAUUAAAGCCUUCGGGCGCUUUGGGAACGGCCUGCGUAAGAUUAGAUAGUUGGUGGGGUAAUGGCCUACCAAGUCGACGAUCUUUAACUGGUUUGAGAGGAUGAUCAGUCAGACUGGAACUGAGACACGGUCCAGACUCCUACGGGAGGCAGCAGUGAGGAAUCUUCCACAAUGGGCGAAAGCCUGAUGGAGCAACGCCGCGUGCAGGAUGAAGGCCUUCGGGUUGUAAACUGCUUUUAUAAGUGAGGAUUAUGACAGUAACUUAUGAAUAAGGAUCGGCUAACUACGUG